CUAUACAUGCAGUCGAACGAGUUCUCGUUGAUGAUCGCUGCUUGCACCGAGAUUCAACAUGGAACGAGUGGCGGACGGGUGAGUAACACGUGGGUAACCUGCCCUUAAGUGGGGGAUAACAUUUGGAAACAGAUGCUAAUACCGCAUAGAUCCAAGAACCGCAUGGUUCUUGGCUGAAAGAUGGCGUAAGCUAUCGCUUUUGGAUGGACCCGCGGCGUAUUAGCUAGUUGGUGAGGUAAUGGCUCACCAAGGCGAUGAUACGUAGCCGAACUGAGAGGUUGAUCGGCCACAUUGGGACUGAGACACGGCCCAAACUCCUACGGG
rnacentral:rRNA from 2 species